CCCAUCUUGCCGGGUGAGCCACUGAGAAGACACCAUUUCUGCGGGAUUCCUGUCCAGAAUGCACACCCUCAACGUAAUCACAGGACAGGUCCAGAUAAACCCAAAUUGUGGGACACUUUAGUGGCUGUUGUUCUCAAAAAUGUUGAGGCCAUGAAAGAUAUGGAAGGACUGAGCAGCUCUUCCUCAGAGGAGGGGAGGAGAGACAUGGCAGCCAAGUGCGACGUGCAGUCUUCAUCCCAUCCUGGACCACUGUGUGUAUAGAUGGACAGACAGACAGAUACAUAAAUUGAUGGAUACAUAGAUAGAUAGUUACAUAGAUAGAUAAACAGACAAACAUGCAUAGAUAGAUAGAUGAUAGAUACAUAGGUAGGAAGAUAUAUCUAUUUAUAUAGAUAUAUAGAUUAUAGAUAGGUAGAUGAUAGACAUACAGAGAGACAGAUAGAUACAUAUGUAGAUGGAUAGAUAGUAAUAGUAUAUAUUUUAUAUAUAUUUUGAGUGUAUAUAUUUUGCAGUAAAAACAUUGGGAUAAAUAGUGAAAUUUAAAUGGGGUCAGUGGAUUAGAGGAUAAUGAUGUAUUAAUGUUAAUUUCUUUUUAACUUAUUUUUUAUUGUAGUUAAAAUGCAUAACAUAAAAAUUACCAUCUUAAUUAUUUCUAAGUGUACAGUUUGGUGGUGGUUGCUAUGUUCACAUUGUUGUUAAUGCUAAUUUCUUGAUUUGGAUGGUUGUACUGUGCUUAUAGGAAGGCUUCUUUGCCUUUAGAAAAUAUGUGUUUAGAGUAAAAAGUGUGUGCGUGUGCAUUUAUAUGUGUGUGUGUGUGUGUAUGAUAUAUAGAUGUAAAAAAGGGAAAAUCAUCAAGUAGGUAUGCUAAAUAACAAUUGGAGAAGGCAGAAAAAUGGUAUAUGGAAUUCUUUGUACUAUGCUUGCAAUUUUUCAGUAAGUUUGAAAUUAUUUCAAAAUCAAAAGACAACUAUUGAAACCGCUGUGGUGCCUUCGAUUCUCUGCUAUCCUUCCCCGGACUCACCGCCUUCUGGAACCACAGAGAUCCUCUUUGUCAUUCACUUUUUGUGAGUCUGCGUUCUCUGGGGGAAAAUAGAAAGAGAAAGCGUCUCCAAUGGGUAGCAAAAUGGAAAAAGAAGAGAAACUAGUGUGUCUAAUCCUCAUUCCCCCAAGGCAUCAUGAGGAAAAUAAAAUUCUUUCUGUCCUGAGUCCCAGGCUCCUCCGGCCUCUGAAACCUGCCUCACCGGCAGGGCUCAACCCCGUGACUCUCUGCCCCAGUCCCUCUCAGAUCCCCACCUCCACCCGAGCCUGACAUUCCCCUCUCUGAGCUCUUACAGCAACUAAGCCACUUUACACAAAGGUGAUUCUCCAUCACAUUGAGGAGAUUUGUGUUGUUUUCUGUAUAAGUUCAUAAAAGCAAGGUUUUGAGUUUUUAGUUUUUUUAAAUUGUGGAACAAUACACGUAACAUACAUUUACCACCUUAACCAUUUUUAAAUGUGCUGUUCAGUGGCAUCGUUGAUUGACAUUGUUGUGUAAUCAUCAGCACCAUCCAUCUCCAGAAUUUUUUUACCUUCCCAAGUUGAAACUCUGUCCCCUUUCACCAGUAGCUCCCCGCUCCCCUCCCCCAAGCCCCAGCAACCCCCAUUCAACUUUCAGUCUCUGUGAUUUUUGACUGUCUAGGAACCUCAAGUAAGUGGAAUCAUGCAGUAUCUGUCCUUUUAUGAGUGGCUUAUCUCGCUGAGCCUGGGGUCCUCAGGGUUCAUCUAUGUUGCAGCAUGGGUCAGGGUUUCCUUCCCUUUUUUUUUUAUUGAGACAGAGUCUCGCUCUGUUGCCCAGGCUGGAGUGCAGUGGCGCGAUCUCGGCUCACUGCAAACUCUGCCUCCCGGGUUCAAGCGAUUCUCCUGCCUCAGCCUCCUGAGUAGGUGGGACUAUAGGCGCCCGCCACCGCGCCCAGCUAAUUUUUUUGUAUUUUUAGUGGAGACAGGGUUUCACCGUGUUAGCCAGGAUGGUCUCGAUCUCCUGACCUCGUGAUCCGCCCACCUCGG
rnacentral:lncRNA from 10 species